GAUGAACGCUGGCGGCGUGCCUAAUACAUGCAAGUCGAGCGAACAGACGCGGAGCUUGCUCCUCUGACGUUAGCGGCGGACGGGUGAGUAACACGUGGAUAACCUACCUAUAAGACUGGGAUCACUUCGGGAAACCGGCGCUAAUACCGGAUAAUAUCUUGCACCGCAUGGUUCGUUAGUGAAAGACGGUUUUGCUGUCACUUAUAGAUGGUUCCGGGCCGCAUUAGCUAGUUGGUAAGGUAACGGAUUACCAAGGCAACGAUGCGUAUCCGACCGGAUAGGGUGAUCGGCGACACUGGAACUGAGACACGGUCCAGACUCCUACGGGACGCAGCAGUAGGGAAUCUUAGGCAAUGGGCGAAAGCCUGACGCAGCAACGCCGAGUGAGUGAUGAAGGUCUUCGGAUCGUAAAACUCUGUUACUAGGGAAGAACAACUGUGUACGUAACUAUGCACGUCUUGACGGUACCUAAUCAGAAAGCCACGGCUAACUACGUG
rnacentral:rRNA from 1 species